UACGUAGGGUGCGAGCGUUAAUCGGAAUUACUGGGCGUAAAGCGUGCGCAGGCGGUUCGUUAAGUUCGAUGUGAAAGCCCCGGGCUCAACCUGGGAAUGGCAUUGGAAACUGGCGGACUCGAGUGUGGCAGAGGGGGGUGGAAUUCCGCGUGUAGCAGUGAAAUGCGUAGAUAUGCGGAGGAACACCGAUGGCGAAGGCAAUCCCCUGGGCCUGCACUGACGCUCAUGCACGAAAGCGUGGGGAGCAAACAGG
rnacentral:rRNA from 1 species